rnacentral:rRNA from 1 species
CAUGCAGGCGGUUAGACAAGUCAGAUGUGAAAUCCCCGCGCUUAACGUGGGCAUUGCAUUUGAAACUGUUUGGCUAGAGUUCUGUAGAGGGGGGUAGAAUUCCAGGUGUAGCGGUGAAAUGCGUAGAGAUCUGGAGGAAUACCGGUGGCGAAGGCAAGUUUCUGGGAGAUAAUUGACGCUGAGGCGCGAAAGUGUGGGGAGCAAACAGGAUUAGAUACCCGCGUA